rnacentral:rRNA from 1 species
UACGUAGGGUGCGAGCGUUGUCCGGAAUUACUGGGCGUAAAGAGCUCGUAGGUGGUUUGUCGCGUUGUUCGUGAAAACUCACAGCUCAACUGUGGGCGUGCGGGCGGACGUACGGCAGACUAGAGUACUGCAGGGGGAGACUGAAUUCCUGGUGUAGCAGUGAAAUGCGUAGAUAUCAGGAGGAACACCGGUGGUGUAGACGGCUCACUGGACCGUAACUGACGCUGAGACACGAAAGCGUGGGUAGCAAACAGG